UACGGGGGGGGGCAAGCGUUGUUCGGAAUUACUGGGCGUAAAGGGCUCGUAGGCGGCCAACUAAGUCGGAUGUGAAAUCCCCAGGCUUAACCUGGGAACUGCACCCGAUACUGGAUGGCUUGAAUCCGGGAGAGGGAUGCAGAAUUCCAGGUGUAGCGGUGAAAUGCGUAGAUAUUGGGAGGAACACCGGUGGCGAAGGCGGCUACCUGGACCGGUUCUGACGCUGAUGCGCGAAAGCGUGGGUAGCAAACAGG
rnacentral:rRNA from 1 species